rnacentral:rRNA from 1 species
AGCGAGGCUGUGAAGCGGAGCAAAUCUCAAAAACCGGUCCCAGUUCGGAUUGUAGGCUGCAACUCGCCUACAUGAAGUCGGAGUUGCUAGUAAUCGCGGAUCAGAAUGCCGCGGUGAAUGCGUUCCCGGGUCUUGUACACACCGCCCGUCACACCAUGGAAGUUGGGGGCGCCCGAAGUUGCCUAAGAAAUAAGGACCUUUUUUAAGGCGAAACCAAUGACUGGGGUGAAGUCGUAACAAGGUAAC